GAUGAAGAACGUAGUGAAAUGCGAUAAGUAAUGUGAAUUGCAGAAUUCAGUGAACCAUCGAGUCUUUGAACGCACAUUGCGCCCCAUGGUAUUCCGUGGGGCAUGCCCGUCUCAGCGUCAGCGAAAUCCAUCAAGCCAAGGCCUUUUGUGUGGCCCGGUUUGGAUGUCUGUCAGGGAGGCAGUUGCGGCGUCGGCCGCCUGCCCCUUGGAAAACUAUUGAACGGCCAGGCUGAAGUAGCCGCCUGCUGUUGCCGGACGCGAUAAGCAGAUCACCUCGUCCGGCCGACGAGCAGGUUUAACGGACCGUCAGCCCACAAAUAUUUUUUAUUUUUUAUUUUUAUUUUGGACUUGACCUGAGAUCGGGUAGGAGUACCCGCUGAACUUAAGCAUAUCAAUAAGCGGAGGA
rnacentral:misc_RNA from 1 species